GUGGGGAAUCUUCCGCAAUGGACGAAAGUCUGACGGAGCAACGCCGCGUGAGUGAUGAAGGUCUUCGGAUUGUAAAGCUCUGUUAAUCGGGACGAAAGAGCCUAGUGUGAAUAAUGCUAGGAAGUGACGGUACCGGAAUAGAAAGCCACGGCUAACUACGUGCCAGCAGCCGCGGUAAUACGUAGGUGGCAAGCGUUGUCCGGAAUUAUUGGGCGUAAAGCGCGCGCAGGCGGAUCUGCCAGUCUGUCUUAAAAGUUCGGGGCUUAACCCCGUGAUGGGAUGGAAACUACAGAUCUAGAGUAUCGGAGAGGAAAGUGGAAUUCCUAGUGUAGCGGUGAAAUGCGUAGAUAUUAGGAGGAACACCAGUGGCGAAGGCGACUUUCUGGACUGUAACUGACGCUGAGGCUCGAAAGCCAGGGGAGCGAACGGGAUUAGAAACCCGAGUAGUCC
rnacentral:rRNA from 1 species